AAGAAAGAAUGUAAACAACAUUGCUCUUCUCCAAGCUGGGCACUUUACCCACACCUGAGCCAACCAGCCAGCAGACCUAAAUAGCCAGAUCACCUGGGUUCUGUAAGGCUCUGCUGCCCUUAACUAUGUACUCUGUCCCAGAGGAGGUGAGUGCUGAAGCAAGUGGGGCCCACGUGGUCACAGCGAACCUGUGCAUCACCGGUGAAGCUGCCUGCAGUUCUGCCCAGAGGCAGCCCGAGGUACAACUAAAACCCCUGGCCAUUAUAUACAAAGUAAACACAAGAGGCUCUGAAAGGAGAAAAAGAGGAGGCAGAUGAUGAGGGACUUCAGGAGCAGAAGGGCUGCCUGAUGGUGUUGGGCUCAGCCUGGUGACUCCCUUCUAAGGAAUGGUAUACGGCAAAAGUGAUGGGAUUCUGCUUCUGGGAUGAGGCUACAGGGAGGCUGUGCCUCUAGCCCGUGUGCCCUCUUCUGCUGUCUUACUUGCUCAUUCUGAUGAAAGCCAGAUACGUGUUGUGAGCUGCCACACAAGAAGGACACAUGGUAAGGAACCAAGGGAGACUUCAGCCCUCGGCCAACAAGGAACUGAGUCCCUCAGCUCAGCAGCCUGUGAGGAACUGAAUCUUAUCACCAACCAUGUAAGUGAACUCGAGAAAUGGAUCCUUCCUCAGUCAAGCCUUCAUGAUUCCACAGCCUUACCAAUACCUUCACUGCAGUCUUUUCAGAGAACUUAGGAACCCAGAUA